rfam:Cytophaga hutchinsonii ATCC 33406, complete genome.
AAUGGUGGCUAUAGCGUUGGUGUUCACCUCUUCCCAUUUCGAACAGAGAAGUUAAGCCCAACUGCGCCAAUGGUACUGCAGUCAAAUGUGGGAGAGUAGGUCGCUGCCAACU